UACGGGGGGAGCAAGCGUUGUUCGGAUUUACUGGGCGUAAAGGGCGCGUAGGCGGCGCAACAAGUCACUUGUGAAAUCUCCGGGCUUAACUCGGAACGGUCAAGUGAUACUGUUGUGCUAGAGUGCGGAAGGGGCAACUGGAAUUCUCGGUGUAGCGGUGAAAUGCGUAGAUAUCGAGAGGAACACCUGCGGCGAAGGCGGGUUACUGGGCCGACACUGACGCUGAUGCGCGAAAGCCAGGGGAGCGAACGGG
rnacentral:rRNA from 1 species